GACUUGCUAGCUCAAUUGGUAGAGCAACUGACUCUUAAUCAGUAGGUUCAGGGUUCGAUUCCCUGGCGGGUCACCA
rnacentral:tRNA from 1 species